UCCCCUCCCCCACCCCUCCAACACCUCCCCGCAUCACAAUCUGCCACACAGGUCACCUGUGACAGAGGAGAAGACUUGAAUUUGUGGAGCUGAGUGUCUCUGCCUGGGUCACCCCAGUUUAUCAGUUAAGCCAGAGAAGGUAUGAUGUCCCCCAUCUAAGAAUAAGAAUAGUAGUCUACAUCACCUACCUACAUUUUCUUUCGUCCUCUUCAAGAACUAUAGUAUAUGAGAUGGAGUAACUGUCUCCCGUAUAGCAGGUCUAAAGUCCUUCUGGCCAGCCUUCUACUUCGGUGAAAAGUAAAUAAGUGGACAGUGUUAAAUCUACAACCAUCCCUGCUCCAGACUUUUCGGGAAGAAAUGGUACUUUGUAAAGAAGGUACCCGGUGGAUGGAGUCAAGAACAGACAUUUGUGAAUCAACAAGGACCACCAACUGCCCUUAAUCCUAUAGAAAGUCUGGGGAAACUGAGGUUUAAAGAUAUAAAUCUCUUGCCCAAGUUGUUUUCUUUUUUAAACUUUAUUUUAUGUGUAUGAAUGUUUCCCCUGCGUGUGUGUUCAUGUGCCACAUGCAUGCAGUGCCUGCAGAGGCCAGAAGAGGGGUGUCGGAUCCCCUGGCAUUAUAGAAGACUGUGACCCGCCAUGUGGGUGCUAGGAACUGAACCUGGAUCCUGGGGAGGAGCAGGCAGUGCUCUCAACCUCUGAGCCACGUCUCCAGCUCCUGAGUGACUACCAACCUGGGAUCAGGCUUCUUACUUCUGUACAAGUAAUCCUUCAUGAGGAAGAGAGACCAAGUCUGGAAUGCGGUGAAGUAAGCAGAGAAGAUUUUAUGGCGUUUCACAAAUUUCUCUUGGCCUCCGAGACAGCAAAAUAAUCAUACAAAGAAACCAAGCCCUUUGCCUGCAGGACAAUACAUGGGUUUUUAUUAAAAGAGGAAUUUAAAUGCCUCCUGUGCACAGACUGUUUUAACUAGAAAGACUUAGAAAAUUAAUUUCUG
rnacentral:lncRNA from 1 species